rnacentral:tRNA from 1 species
AGUCCCGUAGUUUAACGGUAAAACCUACGUCCGAUGAGCGUAUUAUCUCAGUUCAAUUCUGAGCGGGACUACCA